rnacentral:rRNA from 1 species
UACGGAGGAUCCAAGCGUUGUCCGGUUUAUUGGGUUUAAAGGGUGCGUAGGCGGACUUAUAAGUCAGAGGUGAAAGCCGGUAGCUUAACUAUCGAAUUGCCUUUGAAACUGCAAGUCUUGAAUUUUGUUGAGGUAGGCGGAAUGUAUCAUGUAGCGGUGAAAUGCAUAGAUAUGAUACAGAACACCGAUUGCGAAGGCAGCUUACUAAGCAAACAUUGACGCUGAGGCACGAAAGCGUGGGGAUCAAACAGGAUUAGAUACCCCCGUAGUCC